rnacentral:lncRNA from 1 species
CAUACAUACAUCCCUAAAUGUUUGCUAACAGCUCUGCUGCUACCGUGAAAGGGUUCGAUUCAGCUAAGAGCGAUUAAGCUGUGUAUCUACUAGGCUCCAUUUGGCAAACCGAAUCGGGCAAAACGAGAAAUUGAAAAGACAGUUACAACGUCAUUAUGAAGUUUGGGUCUUCCUCCGUUCCCCUUUCGUUUUGCAAGCCCUGAGUGCCUAUGCCACAAGCCGCCUCUCUGUGUGAGUGACGACCGCGAGAGCUGUGGCAAAAGUUUACAAAAAUCCGAAGCACAGCAACCGCAUGCUAUACAUAAACACACACACACACAUGGCCAGACCCGAUCGUGAUGUUGUUGUACAUAGGGGAACAUUGGUUUUUUUUUUUUUGCGAGAUUGAAAAGUACAUGGCAACGAGAAUGAGAACCUGAACGAUAAGAGAGCAUGUUCACAUUUGAUUCUGACGAUCGAUCAGCUGUUCUGUUCACUGUGCAAAAAAUCGUAAAGAUACGCCCUUAGAAAUGUAUUUAAUCCUUCUAAUCGACUUAUUGUUCAUAAAUAAAUCGGAUUGUUUCCAUGCAAUAAAUCUAGUAGCCCCC